rnacentral:rRNA from 1 species
CGGAUCAGCAUGCCGCGGUGAAUACGUUCCCGGGCCUUGUACACACCGCCCGUCACACCAUGGGAGUCGGUAACACCCGAAGCCUGUAGUCUAACCGCAAGGAGGACGCAGUCGAAGGUGGGAUUGAUGACUGGGGUGAAGUCGUAACAAGGUAUC